AACGAACGCUGGCGGCAGGCCUAACACAUGCAAGUCGAACGAACCCUUCGGGGUUAGUGGCGGACGGGUGAGUAACACGUGGGAACGUGCCUUUAGGUUCGGAAUAACUCAGGGAAACUUGUGCUAAUACCGAAUGUGCCCUUCGGGGGAAAGAUUUAUCGCCUUUAGAGCGGCCCGCGUCUGAUUAGCUAGUUGGUGAGGUAAUGGCUCACCAAGGCUACGAUCAGUAGCUGGUCUGAGAGGAUGACCAGCCACAUUGGGACUGAGACACGGCCCAAACUCCUACGGGAGGCAGCAGUGGGGAAUCUUGCGCAAUGGGCGAAAGCCUGACGCAGCCAUGCCGCGUGGAUGAUGAAGGUCUUAGGAUUGUAAAGCUCUUUUACCCGGGAAGAUAAUGACUGUACCGGGAGAAUAAGCCCCGGCUAACUCCGUGCCAGCCGCCGCAGUAAUAC
rnacentral:rRNA from 1 species